rnacentral:rRNA from 1 species
GCGGCGGACGGGUGAGUAAUGUCUGGGAAACUGCCUGAUGGAGGGGAUAACUACUGAAACGUAGCUAUACCGCAUAACGUCGCAAGACCAAAGAGGGGGACCUUCGGGCCUCUUGCCAUCAGAUGUGCCAGAUGGGAUUACUAUAGUGGGGUAACGGCUCACCUAGCACAUCCUACUGGUCUGAAGGAUGACCACCACACUGGAACUGAAACACGGUCAAACUCCUACGGGAGGCAGCAGUGGGGAAUAUUGCACAAUGGGCGCAAGCCUGAUGCAGCCAUGCCGCGUGUAUGAAGAAGGCCUUCGGGUUGUAAAGUACUUUCAGCGGGGAGGAAGGUGUUGUGGUUAAUAACUACAGCAAUUGACGUUACCCGCAGAAAAGCACCGGCUAACUCCGUGCCAGCAGCCGCGGUAAUACGGAGGGUGCAAGCGUUAAUCGGAAUUACUGGGCGUAAAGCGCACGCAGGCGGUCUGUCAAGUCGGAUGUGAAAUCCCCGGGCUCAACCUGGGAACUGCAUUCGAAACUGGCAGGCUAAAGUCUUGUAAGGGG